GACGAACGCUGGCGGCGUGCUUAACACAUGCAAGUCGAACGAAGUGGCGAACGGGUGAGUAACGCGUAAUCAACCUGCCCUUCAGAGGGGGACAACAGUUGGCAACGACUGCUAAUACCGCAUACUGAAGGAGGGGUUUGCGUCUGUUUAGCUAGUUGGAGGGGUAACGGCCCACCAAGGCGAUGAUCAGUAGCCGGGCUGAGGGGGUUGACGGCCACAUGGGGACUGGGACACGGCCCAAACUCCUACGGGAGGGAGCAGGGGGGGAACUGCCGCAAUGGGCGGAAGUCUGACGGGGCAACGCCGCGUUAGGUGUGGCGGCCUUCGGGUUGUAAAACUCUGUUAAUCGGGACGCGGUACCGGAAUAGAAAGCCACGGCUAACUACGUGCCAGCAGCCGCGGUAAUAC
rnacentral:rRNA from 1 species